rnacentral:snRNA from 1 species
ACGCCCUCGACCUAUUCU